UACAGAGGGUGCAAGCGUUAAUCGGAAUUACUGGGCGUAAAGGGCGCGUAGGUGGUUGUGUGUGUGAGAUGUGAAAUCCCUGGGCUCAACCUGGGAAUGGCAUUUUUAAACUGCAUAGCUAGAGUAUAUGAGAGGGUAGUGGAAUUUCCGGUGUAGCGGUGAAAUGCGUAGAUAUCGGAAGGAACACCUGUGGCGAAAGGCGGCUCACUG
rnacentral:rRNA from 1 species